AAAUUUCUAAGUAAAAUAACGAGUCAAAUUUUAUCUGAUGAACAUGAGAAAUACUGCAACUUUAUAAAUGAAACCCAAUACUAAGUAUUAAAAAUCAUGUAGUUUACAAUAAAAUAUCUUUACAAAACCUCUCGACAUUACCCACAUUUAAAACACCCUUACCGAUGGUCUUUAUAGCCUCGCGCUCCGGUCUACAUAAUCAACCUUACCUGCAUCGCAAAAGGAGGCAUGAGCAUACAAAAGUACUCAGUGAGGACGCUCAAUACCGCCCACUACAGCCCAAUAAUCAAACACUCAAUCAAUACUAACCCCCUAGCAUUCGGUUCUAUCAUUCCUUUACUUAACUAGUUCCAUUACUUUAAUAUUUCUUAACCUUUCGACCCGAAGGUCCAUAAUCCUGCGGCCAAAGCCAACCUGCGGCCGAAGCCAGCCUGCGGCGGAAGCCAAACCUGCGGCCGAAGCCAAACCUGUGGCCGUAGCCAACCUGUGACCCGUCUGUCCAUUACAUUCCCUUAACCUUUUUCCUUAUCAUUUUCCUUAUAUUACAUUUCAAUUAUUCUUUCCUUAAACGCAUUAUAAUUUCAUGACCUAGGUUCUCAAGAUCAAACGUUCAUUUCUCACAUAAACAUCCUCACAUAACUCGAUAAUCCAUAGCAUGCAUUUCUCAAGAACACGAUGAACGAACUUUCCUUAAUCAAUUCCUAUCAUACAUUUCUUAAAAAAACGAAGAAUGAACUUUCCUUAAACAAAUUCUAUCAAACAUUUUCCUAUGAACACGAUGAACAAACUUUCCAUAAACGAAUUCUAUCCAAGCAUACACAUGUUCUUACUGAAUCAACUAGACAAAAUAAUUCUUAUUGGACUGCCACGAAUCACGUCCUCACCUGGAUUGAUCUUAAAAGAUCGAAGACACUUAACGCCAACAUUUAACGUCUAGUUAACGUUGUCUUAACUGUGGGUUCACGGUAUGUUAAUAUGGCCAGUCAAUCCUAAAUUACUUAAUAAGCUAAAAAAGUCAACAAAAGUAAAGUGUUUUUCUGGCCAAGCUCGAGUACAGAUUUUUUUUGGCAAUUCGUGCAAAGUUUGUGUUUUUUUUUUGCCGAAUUCUCAUUAUUAAAUUACAUUGUUUUACGGUACUUUAGCGAUUACUAAUAAUUCUACACAAAAGAGAUUGCAAUGAAGUAACCACUGUCUUCGUUGGAGCUGUGAACAAAUCCAUAAAUCAUUUCAAACAUGGAUUCUAGCAUCUAUCCUAUUUGGUAGCGGAUGUAGGAACAUAAGUAGUCGGGGGCAAAUUGAAACACCCCAACCCGUGAAUCUUUGAAAACACGUGAAAAUUUCUAAGUAAAAUAACGAAUCAAAUUUUAUCGGAUGAACAUGAAAAGUACUGCAACUUUAUAAAUGAAACCCGAUACUAAGUAUUAAAAAUCAUGUAGUUUACAAUAAAAUAUCUUUUACAAAACCUCUCAACAUUACCUACAUUUAAAACACCUUUGCCGAUGGUCUUUAUAGCCUCGCGCUCCGGUCUACAUAAUCAACCUUACCUGCAUCGCAAAAGGAGGCAUGAGCAUACAAAAGUACUCAGUGAGGACGCUCAAUACCGCCCACUACAG
rnacentral:lncRNA from 1 species